rnacentral:lncRNA from 9 species
GGCUCUGGGUAAAGUAUUCAUAUGCACUGUUUCAUCUCUUCUUCCCAAGUACCCGCAGGAGCAGGCACGACGGUUGUCAGUAUCGUCAUCAUCACUGUUCUCACUUUACAAAUGAGGAAACCCAGCUGUCUGCCCUCACUGGUCCUCAGCCUGAUCCCCACGAUUCCACCAACUACCUGAGUAACAGCGGUUUCCCGCUGGCCCACAGCUCCGCAAGGACAGGGUCACAUCCCUUCAGUUCUCCACUGACUCCCAGACGGAAAGGAGAAGAGCCAGAAUUCAGACGUGGGCAGGAGAGGGACUCGAGCAUGUUAAACGCUGAUGGGAAGCAUCCAGUGGAAAGUGAGAGGCUGAAUGUUCAAGGGAUAAAGGGCAGAGUGGGUAUCCUGCUGUCUCUGGGGUGAGGUGUGGCCCCUCUGCCAAGUCGGAAGUGCAGCGAGCCAGACGUGUGGAACCUGACAAGGACAUAAGGCUAAGCCUAGGCGGGCAUCUUUUCGCCAGAAUUACCCUCUGUCCUCACAAACAUCCUGGGAGGUACAGAUGCUAUAGCCCCUCAGCACAAGUGAAAAGAAGGAAUCUUCGGAAGUUAAGUAACUUCAGGGCAGCCAACAAAGGGCAGAGCUGGACUGGGCACUGGGUUCCUCUGACACGGAAGCCCACAUUGGUCUAUGGUGCAGCCUGGCACUCCCUGCAGUUCAGCAAAGGCCAGGUGUUGCCAGAUUGGAACUGAGUCGACCAGACCCCAAAGUCUUGCCACUGCCCUGCUCUCGCCCCGCAUUUUGAGGUGGAAAUGAUCAGCCCGCACCUCCCCCGGGGUGAACUAGUCUUUGUUGACCAGGCUCAGAGGAGCCACCACCAAAUGACACCUUGUCUGAGCAGCGAAUUGGCUCAGCAAGCCAGCUUCUCACAGCGGUGGGACUAGGGGUGCCUUUUCUCCAUCCUCUUUAGUCUUCACCCCCACCCCUCCUAAACACCAGCAGCUCCAGUCCUACUGCUAUAACUGACUGUGACCCUGACCCCAUCCCUGCAUGGCUCCAGAUGCAGAAUCGAAGCCCUCCCACAAUCCCAUCCAAAUGUCCAGCAAACUGAAUAAAUUCCUAUCUGGGAUGAGUUCCUUUGUGGGGCAGCAGGUUAAGGCUCUGACCUUGUCAAUGCAGGGGCUCUGGUGGUCACUGUGGCAUGGGUUCGAGCCCUAGCCCCGGAAUGUCCACAUGCAGCAGAGGGAGCCAGGGGAAAAAAAAUCCUGAGAAAAGGCUAUUUGGUGUGAGAUGGGAUCAAAAUCCAGGAGAUGAAUUUUGUUACAAUGAUUUUACGAAG